AUGGGGGGCUGCUUACCAUGCAGUCGAACGAUGGGGCACUUCGGUGGGGAUUAGUGGCGACCGGGUGAGUAAGACGUGGGGGGUCUGCCCUGCACUCUGGGACAAGCCCUGGAAACGGGGUCUAAUACCGGAUACUGAUCAUCUUGGGCAUCCUUGGUGAUCGAAAGCUCCGGCGGUGCAGGAUGAGCCCGCGGCCUAUCAGCUUGUUGGUGAGGUAAUGGCUCACCAAGGCGACGACGGGUAGCCGGCCUGAGAGGGCGACCGGCCACACUGGGACUGAGACACGGCCCAGACUCCUACGGGAGGCAGCAGUGGGGAAUAUUGCACAAUGGGCGAAAGCCUGAUGCAGCGACGCCGCGUGAGGGAUGACGGCCUUCGGGUUGUAAACCUCUUUCAGCAGGGAAGAAGCGAAAGUGACGGUACCUGCAGAAGAAGCGCCGGCUAACUACGUGCCAGCAGCCGCGGUAAUACGUAGGGCGCGAGCGUUGUCCGGAAUUAUUGGGCGUAAAGAGCUCGUAGGCGGCUUGUCGCGUCGGUUGUGAAAGCCCGGGGCUUAACCCCGGGUCUGCAGUCGAUACGGGCAGGCUAGAGUUCGGUAGGGGAGAUCGGAAUUCCUGGUGUAGCGGUGAAAUGCGCAGAUAUCAGGAGGAACACCGGUGGCGAAGGCGGAUCUCUGGGCCGAUACUGACGCUGAGGAGCGAAAGCGUGGGGAGCGAACAGGAUUAGAUACCCUGGUAGUCCACGCCGUAAACGGUGGGCACUAGGUGUGGGCGACAUUCCACGUCGUCCGUGCCGCAGCUAACGCAUUAAGUGCCCCGCCUGGGGAGUACGGCCGCAAGGCUAAAACUCAAAGGAAUUGACGG
rnacentral:rRNA from 1 species